UGUGUCAUUCUUCUUCAGGCCAUGCGACCCUGCCUUCAUGCCAUUAUGCCCCCAGAUCAUGAGUCCCCUCAACAGUAACUGUGUCUGAUAUAUCAUGUUUUUUUUUUGUCAAUAUCUGCACAGUACUGGUGCACAGGUAUUAAGUUCUGUAGAAUUGAAUGAGAUGUAGGAACUUGAUAAUGUGACAAAACAAUGUCUGUAAUACGUUUUCUUUAUUAUUCUUUUAAAGAGUCUCAGGUCAUCUGUCAGUGAAGGAAUUCGGGCAGUAGAUGAACGAAUGUGUAAACAAGAGGAUAUAAGGAAGAAAAAGAUGUGUGUGUUGAGGCUUAUACAAGUUAUUUGAUCAGUUGAAAAGAUUGAAAAAGUCUUAAAUUCACAAAGUUCUAAAGAAAUCUCUGCACUAGAAGCAAGCAGGUGAUUGUAGAGCAGAUCGUUGAGUCUCAUCCAGACGGCCUGAAGAUCAUGUAUGCUAAUAAGCUUCUGGAGUUCGUUCCUCACCACUGCCGCCUUCUUCGAGAGGUCACAGGAGGAGCCAUCUUAAGGAUGGUGGAAUGGGUACGUGGCUGAGUGCCUCCCGGGUCUGACCCUGUGUGACGCCACCCGGUGCCUGCAGCUGCCCUCUGGAAGGUGUUGCUUUUGCGGCAGAGCCGGAGGGCACCAAGCGUGUGUCUGUCUCCAAAGUCCUGGGCACCACAUCACAAUGCCUUCCUGAGAAGCAGAAUCAAGGACAGUUGCUGAUCUUCAUUCCUUCCCACCAAAGGUUCUGUUCCGGGAUCCCACUGGAAUUCUACGCGCCUGUCCCCUAAGAUCCCAUAAAUUGUGGUCCAGUUUCCCAGCCAGCCAAGGAAAGCACAUGGGAAAUCUUGCUGAAGUAUGAGUAAGAGCCAACGAAAGGGAACAUAUUUAUCUGCCUCGAAUGCUGGGACCUGAGGAAAGCAAGUUUCAUUACAGACAAAUCAGGAAGGAGGUGCAGAUUGCUUUUUAUGUCACUCUGGAGUGGAGGUCUGCCAUUGAUCAUUAAGGCCAUUUCCUGCAAUGCACUCACCAAAGUGAUACUCACUUCGGAGUGGACAAAACUUAGGAAAUGGCCAAGGGGAGCUCUGCUUACACUUUACACUCUCAGCAUUUAUUUGUAUUAAUUUCUUUAUAGGGCAGUAUAGAGACAUGAGACCACAUUGAAAAAGCAAAGCUUGUCAUCCUGUGGCCUUGGGUCAAGAAUAGAGAUAGUGCUGCUCAUGUCAGUUUCAACCUCCAGUGGCCAAGGGUUUGAUCUGAUGCUCUUUCAAGUUUUCACCAUAGCCUUUCUCAAGCUCAAUGGCCAAUAAUCCCACAGGAGGAGAUUUUAGGGCCCUCUCAAACUUCUGUUUUGCUAUCUCUCCCCAGCCUGCUUCCUCUGCAAAAGUCACCACUUUGCCUGUGCAUCUACCACCUCUUAGAGCCUUUGGAAUCAGCCACGAAUUGCAGUGCUGAUUCCUUCCAUGACCACAUAUUGUUUACAGGAAAACUCUUCUUCGUUAUGCCUUGCCAGUCAGAGUGACGGUUUCAUCCGCAACCUGGACCAGGUUCGGGAAUGUUCUACACAUAAAUUUUCGGAUCCAGUUUUGACUAUUGUUAUGGGCUUAGUUGGAUGCCCCCAGAUUCCUACGUUGACGUCCUAACACCCAGCAUCUCAGAAUGUGGCAGUAUUCAGAGACAGGAUUUUUAAAGAGGUGAUAAAGGGAAAACGAGCUCACUGGGGGUGGGCACCAAGCCAACAGGACUGGUGUGCUUACAGGAAGAGGAGAUUAGGACACAGACAGUACAGACUGAAGGACAAUCGUUUGAAGACAGAGUGGAGAACACAGCUAUCUGCAAGCCAAGGAGAGACGUUUGAAGAAUCGAACCCUACUGCCACCUUGAUCUUGGACUUCCAGCGCCCAGAACCAUGAGAAAAUAAAUUGUAUGUUGCCUAAGCCACCCGGCUGUUGAUAUUUUGUUUACGACAGCCCAUGACUCAGAAAUUUGAGGACCUCCCCCCCAGACUUUAUCCUGAAGUUCUGUUUCAGCUUCAGGGGCUUGUGUAAUACUACUGUAUCAAGGAGGGAGGCUCCUGCCAUUCCCCGCACUGGGUCAUUGAGACACUGCACAGCUGUCCCCAGGGCUGGCUACAUAAUUUACAAGCCCCAUGCAAAAUGAAGAUAUAGGGCCCUUUGGGCAAAAACAGGGAGGAAGUGUUUGUUAAAGGUACUAAAAUAGAAAGCUCAUUUCCUCCAUGGUCUGUCUUCUGAAGGGGCAUGGCUGCUGUUUUCUAUUUGCAUUUAAUGUCAUUCCAAGCAAAUAAAAAUUUUAAAAUGUGA